GACGUAGGAGGCGAGCGUUGUCCGGAUUCAUUGGGCGUAAAGAGCGCGCAGGCGGCUUGGUAAGUCGGAUGUGAAAUCCCGAGGCUCAACCUCGGGUCUGCAUCCGAUACUGCCCGGCUAGAGGUAGGUAGGGGAGAUCGGAAUUCCUGGUGUGAGCGGUGAAAUGACGCAGAUAGUCAGGAGGAACACCGGUGGCGAAGGCGGAUCUCUGGGCCUUACCUGACGCUGAGGAGCGAAAGCAUGGGGAGCAAACAGG
rnacentral:rRNA from 1 species